GUGAGGAAUUUUCCGCAAUGGGCGAAAGCCUGACGGAGCAAUGCCGCGUGAAGGAUGAAGGCCUAUGGGUUGUAAACUUCUUUUCUCAGAAAAGAAUUAUGACGGUAUCUGAGGAAUAAGCAUCGGCUAACUCUGUGCCAGCAGCCGCGGUAAGACAGAGGAUGCAAGCGUUAUCCGGAAUGAUUGGGCGUAAAGCGUCUGUAGGUUGUUUAAAAAGUAUUCUGUCAAAGAUUAGGGCUUAACCCUAGAUAGGCAGAAUAAACUUUUAAGCUAGAGUUUGGUAGAGGCAGAGGGAAUGCCCGGUGGAGCGGUGAAAUGCGUAGAUAUCGGGAGGAACACCAAAGGCGAAGGCACUCUGCUGGGCCAAUACUAACACUGAGAGACGAAAGCGAGGGGAGCAAAUGGGAUUAGAAACCCUUGUAGUCC
rnacentral:rRNA from 1 species